GGAAAUGUGGCUCAGUGGCAGAGUGCUUGCCUAGCAGGCAUGUAUGAAGCCCUGGGUUCGAUUCCUCAGUACCA
rnacentral:tRNA from 1 species